rnacentral:rRNA from 1 species
GACGUAGGGCGCGAGCGUUGUCCGGAAUUAUUGGGCGUAAAGGGUGCGUAGGUGGCGGGGUAAGUCAGGUGUGAAAUCUCGGGGCUCAACCCCGAAACUGCAUUUGAUACUGCCUUGCUCGAGUACUGGAGAGGAGAUUGGAAUUUACGGUGUAGCAGUGAAAUGCGUAGAUAUCGUAAGGAAGACCAGUGGCGAAGGCGAAUCUCUGGACAGUUACUGACACUGAGGCACGAAGGCCAGGGGAGCAAACGGG